rnacentral:rRNA from 1 species
GUAGUCCACGCCCUAAACGAUGUCAACUGGUUGUUGGGAGAGUGAAAUCUCUUAGUAACGAAGCUAACGCGUGAAGUUGACCGCCUGGGGAGUACGGUCGCAAGAUUAAAACUCAAAGGAAUUGACGGGGACCCGCACAAGCGGUGGAUGAUGUGGAUUAAUUCGAUGCAACGCGAAAAACCUUACCUACCCUUGACAUGUCCAGAAUCCUGCAGAGAUGCGGGAGUGCCCGAAAGGGAAUUGGAACACAGGUGCUGCAUGGCUGUCGUCAGCUCGUGUCGUGAGAUGUUGGGUUAAGUCCCGCAACGAGCGCAACCCUUAUCAUUAGUUGCUACGCAAGGGCACUCUAAUGAGACUGCCGGUGACAAACCGGA